GCCAUGCAUGUGUAAGUAUAAAUAUUCUACUUUGAAACUGCGAAUGGUUCAUUAUAUCAGUUAUAGUUUAUUGAUGAAAUGUACUACUUGGAUUACCGGUAGAAUUCUAGAGGUAAUACCUGAUCUAUUCCUCCACUUUGAAGAGGUGGAUUUAUUAAAAUGAAAACCAAUAGACUUUGGCUGUUUGUGAGUAAUAAUUACUCGUCCUAUUCCAUGCUUGUGAUAGCGAUGUGUCUUUUCAGUUUCUGGCCCAUCCACUUUCCAUGGGAAGGGAUUGGACUACCAUUGCAGUAACGGGUAACGAAGAAUUUGGGUUCCAAUUCCGAAAAGGAACCUGGAAAAAGGCUACCACCUCCAAGGGAGGGAACAGGGGCCGAAAUUACCCCAUCCUGGCCCUGGGAAGGAAUGGCCAUAAAUCACAAUGCGGAACCUUUGAUUUGUGCUUGUGUAGUGAACACCGCGCAACACUUAUCUCUAUACACUUGUGGGGCAAGUCUGGGGCCACCACCCGCGGUAAUUCCACAUCUCCAAUAGCGUAUA
rnacentral:rRNA from 1 species